CACCAAUCAAGCAGCUGUCUUCUUUCCCGUGUCUAAUCAGACAAGGGUCAUCUGUCACAGAACUAUCCAAUCAGCAUUAAGGUGCCGAGUACAAAAGGCUGCUCAAAGAGAGAGUUUUUCUGACCAACAACAUUCUACUUUAUUGAGGAUUUGGAUGUGAGAGAGAUAUAUAUAUGGAAAGCUGACAUUUGGCUGUGGGAGCAGAAGUAAAAAGAGACACGGCGAGACGGACCUGAGAACCAGUUUCCAGACCCUAUUUAUUGAUGACACUGUCCUCUCCUAAUUGUGUGUAUUUUGCACCUUUUUCAAAAAUCAAUGGACUAUAAAUGGGAAGCUACCAAAGGGCGCUGGAUUGAUGGUGUCACCUACUGACCAAAAUCCAAACCACCAGGACACAAUCACCUCCUCUCUGGGGCUCUCAAAGUCAGUACACAGGAAUUAUCAACGAAUUUCACCCUUCACCCAGUUUCAAUGAGCUCACCUAUGAAUGUAAACUAGAAAUCACAAGUCCCAUGUGAGAAGAAAAGACCUGGGGAGCCAUGUGAGAUUUCCCAGUUUCUUCCUGCUUGGUAAGAGUGGGGAUGAAGUGAGGAGACAACAUCCUUAUCAAUGUCUGACUUCUAUACUUUUCAGUCCUUAAGGCUUUGCUUUCAAUCUGCCCUGUGGGGAUCCCCGAGAAAUCUUGGAAGCUGUGUUACUGGCGAUGAUGGGACAAGAGAUUGGACACACCUCGUUAUACCCCCUCGUCACUAACUGACAUUAAGUAUUGCUUCUUAUGGAUUAAACAGAAACGAGCCAUUCUGAAAGACUCCACACCAAUAUCAACAAACUCCCUGAUGCUUUCCCUCCCUGUCUGCAGUUUCAACACAACUAACCAGUACUUCUCUCUUAUAAGACCAUCAACCACUGAGUGGUUCUGGCAAGUCUAUGGAGGAUGCACAGUGAGGUUUUUUUUUGUGUCCUGUUUUUCACCUUUUGACAUCAGAGGGCCAAAAUCUCUACCCUCAAAUCAUGCUAAUGCUGCCAUGGGACCCAUGGAGAGGCAUGAAGCUCAAUUGUACAUAUGCAUGCUUGUCCUUUCAUAAAUAUGCAUUACUCCUCUUAUAGCUUAUGAAUAUGCAUAUUUGGCCACCCCAUUCAGCAUAAAUCCCUGUCUUGUUCUCCCAAUCCUUGAAGUGCCUGUUUAUAGCCUCUAGGCCAGAGACUAUGCUUCCCAGCCUGUCAGAAUGGCCACCCUGCAGACUGCAAGCCAUUAUGAGAAAUAAAGCACUCUUUUUAAAAUUUAUGAACCUUGUCAUUCUUCAGUUGACAGUUUUAAGCUGAUAGAAAGAACUAUUAGUACUACUUUUAUGCUUAACAUUACAAAAUGUUUUUCUUUGUAGGAGGGAAAUCACAGGUAAAAUACAUCUUCAAAGGCAACCUAAAAUAGAAACAGU
rnacentral:lncRNA from 10 species